rnacentral:rRNA from 1 species
AUUGAACGCUGGCGGAAUGCUUUACACAUGCAAGUCGAACGGCAGCACGGGAGCUUGCUCCUGGUGGCGAGUGGCGAACGGGUGAGUAAUAUAUCGGAACGUAUCCAAUAAUGGGGGAUAACUAGUCGAAAGAUUAGCUAAUACCGCAUACGCCCUGAGGGGGAAAGCUGGGGAUCUUCGGACCUAGCGUUAAUGGAGCGGCCGAUAUCUGAUUAGCUAGUAGGUGAGGUAAAAGCUCACCUAGGCGACGAUCAGUAGCUGGUCUGAGAGGACGACCAGCCACACUGGAACUGAGACACGGUCCAGACUCCUACGGGAGGCAGCAGUGGGGAAUUUUGGACAAUGGGGGCAACCCUGAUCCAGCCAUUCCGCGUGAGUGAAGAAGGCCUUCGGGUUGUAAAGCUCUUUCGCAAGGGAAGAAAACUUAACCUCUAACAUAGGUUGAGGCUGACGGUACCUUGAUAAGAAGCACCGGCUAACUACGUGCCAGCAGCCGCAGUAACAC